rnacentral:rRNA from 1 species
CGGGGCUUAGUGCCGCAGCUAACGCAUUAAGCACUCCGCCUGGGGAGUACGACCGCAAGGUUGAAACUCAAAGGAAUUGACGGGGGCCCGCACAAGCGGUGGAGCAUGUGGUUUAAUUCGAAGCAACGCGAAGAACCUUACCAGGUCUUGACAUCCCGAUGCCCGCUCUAGAGAUAGAGUUUUACUUCGGUACAUCGGUGACAGGUGGUGCAUGGUUGUCGUCAGCUCGUGUCGUGAGAUGUUGGGUUAAGUCCCGCAACGAGCGCAACCCUUAUUGUUAGUUGCCAUCAUUCAGUUGGGCACUCUAGCGAGACUGCCGGUAAUAAACCGGAGGAAGGUGGGGAUGACGUCAAAUCAUCAUGCCCCUUAUGACCUGGGCUACACACGUGCUACAAUGGCUGGUACAACGAGUCGCAAGUCGGUGACGGCAAGCUAAUCUCUUAAAGCCAGUCUCUGUUCGGAUUGUAGGCUGCAACUCGCCUACAUGAAGUCGGAAUCGCUAGUAAUCGCGGAUCAGCACGCCGCGGUGAAUACGUUCCCGGGCCUUGUACACACCGCCCGUCACACCACGAGAGUUUGUAACACCCGAAGUCGGUGAGGUANCCUUUUAGGAGCCA